CUACGCACUCCUACGGGAGCAGCAGUGGGGAAUAUUGCACAAUGGGCGCAAGCCUGAUGCAGCCAUGCCGCGUGUAUGAAGAAGGCCUUCGGGUUGUAAAGUAUUUCAGCAGUGAGGAAGGUGGAUAUGUUAAUAGCAUAUUCAUUUGACGUUAGCUGCAGAAGAAGCACCGGCUAACUCCGUGCCAGCAGCCGCGGUAAUACGGAGGGUGCGAGCGUUAAUCGGAAUUACUGGGCGUAAAGCGCAUGCAGGUGGUUUGUUAAGUCAGAUGUGAAAGCCCGGGGCUCAACCUCGGAAUUGCAUUUGAAACUGGCAAACUAGAGUACUGUAGAGGGGGUAGAAUUUCAGGUGUAGCGGUGAAAUGCGUAGAGAUCUGAAGGAAUACCGGUGGCGAAGGCGGCCCCCUGGACAGAUACUGACACUCAGAUGCGAAAGCGUGGGGAGCAAACAGGAUUAGAUACCCUGGUAG
rnacentral:rRNA from 1 species